AGAUCCACACUCUUUCCCUACACGACACCAUUUGCUUUCUUACCUUGUGCGAUACUGGGGGUGUAGUACGUACACGCCGUCCUGGUAUUUUUCUCGCAUGGUCUCUCGGUCUAGAUUAGCCAGG